rnacentral:rRNA from 1 species
GACGAACCGUGCGAACGUUGUUCGGAAUCACUGGGCUUAAAGGGCGCGUAGGCGGUCGAGCAAGUCCGGGGUGAAAUCUUUCGGCUUAACCGGAAAAGUGCCUUGGAUACUGCUUGACUUGAGGGAGGUAGGGGCAGCUGGAACUUCCAGUGGAGCGGUGAAAUGCGUUGAUAUUGGAAGGAACGCCGGUGGCGAAAGCGAGCUGCUGGCCCUCUUCUGACGCUGAGGCGCGAAAGCUAGGGGAGCAAACGG